AUUAUCUGGCACGCCUCAAAAGUUACAUUGCAUUGGAUGCUGUUUUUGAAUUGUGAAAAUUAUCUGAUUUAUUAUGAGCAUCCUUGGUUGUGUUUGUCAUAUGGACUGAAGGCCCACACGUUCCAUUGUGAAAGUACCACUAAUGAUGUGCUAGUUCUCAAGGAUGUCUCAGAGUGCCGCAGCUGACACCCGAUCACACUGCUCACUCUGGUGCUAGCACACUUUGCCUGACGAGUGUAAAAUCUCAUGAAACAGAUCUGAAGAGGUAAGCGGGGAUCUGCAUUGGCUUGCAGGGGCAUGAAGCAAAAAAGGAAAAAAUGCAGCUUGUGAUUCUACUUCUCUUUUUAUUGGGGCUGAAUUGAUGUCUG
rnacentral:lncRNA from 1 species